rnacentral:rRNA from 1 species
CAGGAAUCUUGCGCAAUGGGGGGAACCCUGACGCAGCGACGUCGCGUGGAGGAAGACGGCCUUCGGGUUGUAAACUCCUUUUAUGAGGGACGAGCAAGGACGGUACCUCAUGAAUAAGCCCCGGCUAACUCCGUGCCAGCAGCCGCGGUAAUACGGAGGGGGCGAGCGUUGUCCGAAUUUAUUGGGCGUAAAGCGCGUGUAGGCGGACUGUCAAGCCUGAGGUGAAAGGUUGGGGCUCAACCCCAUACAGUGCCUUGGGGACUGGUAGUCUGGAGGCAGGCAGAGGUGCGUGGAAUUCCUGGUGUAGCGGUGGAAUGCGUAGAUAUCAGGAAGAACACCCGUGGCGAAGGCGGCGCACUGGGCCUGUACUGACGCUGAGACGCGAAAGCGUGGGGAGCGAACG